rnacentral:rRNA from 1 species
GAGUUUGAUCUUGGCUCAGAUUGAACGCUGGCGGCAGGCCUAACACAUGCAAGUCGAGCGGAUGAAGGGAGCUUGCUCCUGGAUUCAGCGGCGGACGGGUGAGUAAUGCCUAGGAAUCUGCCUGGUAGUGGGGAUAACGUCCGGAAACGGGCGCUAAUACCGCAUACGUCCUGAGGGAGAAAGUGGGGGAGUCUUCGGACCUCACGCUAUCAGACGAGCCUAGGUCGGAUUAGCUAGUUGGUGGGGUAAAGGCCUACCAAGGCGACGAUCCGUAACUGGUCUGAGAGGAUGAUCAGUCACACUGGAACUGAGACACGGUCCAGACUCCUACGGGAGGCAGCAGUGGGGAAUACUGGACAAUGGGCGAAAGCCUGAUCCAGCCAUGCCGCGUGUGUGAAGAAGGUCUUCGGAUUGUAAAGCACUUUAAGUUGGGAGGAAGGGCAGUAAGUUAAUACCUUGCUGUUUUGACGUUACCAACAGAAUAAGCACCGGCUAACUUCGUGCCAGCCGCCGCGGUAUG